rnacentral:hammerhead_ribozyme from 1 species
AUCCAUCUGACGAUUCCCGAAUAGGACGAAACGCGCGUCAAACUGGAU